CAGUCGCCGCGGUAAUACAGAGGGUGCGAGCGUUAAUCGGAUUUACUGGGCGUAAAGCGUGCGUAGGCGGCUUCUUAAGUCGGAUGUGAAAUCCCUGAGCUUAACUUAGGAAUUGCAUUCGAUACUGGGAAGCUAGAGUAUGGGAAAGGAUGGUAGAAUUCCAGGUGUAGCGGUGAAAUGCGUAGAGAUCUGGAGGAAUACCGAUGGCGAAGGCAGCCAUCUGGCCUAAUACUGACGCUGAGGUACGAAAGCAUGGGGAGCAAACAGGAUUAGAUACCCCCGUAGUCCCUGUCUCUUAUAC
rnacentral:rRNA from 1 species